ensembl:lncRNA
GUGAAGAAGGCUGAGCACCGAAGAAUUGAUGCUUUUGAACUGUGGUGUUGGAGAAGACUCUUGAGAAUCCCUUGGACUGCAAGGAGAUCCAAUCAGUCCAAUCUGAAGGAGAUCAAACCUGGGAUUUCUUUUGAAGGAAUGAUGCUAAAGCUGAAACUCCAGUACUUUGGCCACCUCAUGAGAAGAGUUGACUCAUUGGAAAAGACUUUGAUGCUGGGAGGGAUUGGGGGCAGGAGAAGAAGGGGACGACCGAGGAUGAGAUGGCUGGAUGGCAUCAUGGACUCGAUGGACGUCAUAAGCACGUGUUGCAGAUGUUUGGGUGCUAAGUGACACAAUGGAGGCAGCAUCCUCUUGAGCCAGUGAAUGGAGAAUGUGGACAAAAUCACAUUUAACAACCCAGUUCUUCCUUGAAAUAAAACUAAACAACUGAGGUGUGAUUCUGAGUCCUUGAGUGCUUUGUAGUCAAAAACUUCUUUCACAGGAUUUAAAUAACUUUAUGUAUCACAAUUCAUUUUUAUGAUUUAAAGAGAUGAAAAAAAAAU